rnacentral:rRNA from 1 species
GAUGAACGCUGGCGGCGUGCCUAAUACAUGCAAGUAGAACGCUGAAGGAGGAGCUUGCUCUUCUGGAUGAGUUGCGAACGGGUGAGUAACGCGUAGGUAACCUGCCUGGUAGCGGGGGAUAACUAUUGGAAACGAUAGCUAAUACCGCAUGACAACAGUUAUUGCAUGAUAACUGUUUAAAAGGGGCAACUGCUCCACUACCAGAUGGACCUGCGUUGUAUUAGCUAGUUGGUGAGGUAACGGCUCACCAAGGCGACGAUACAUAGCCGACCUGAGAGGGUGAUCGGCCACACUGGGACUGAGACACGGCCCAGACUCCUACGGGAGGCAGCAGGAGGGAAACUUCGGCAAUGGACGGAAGUCUGACCGAGCAACGCCGCGUGAGUGAAGAAGGUUUUCGGAUCGUAAAGCUCUGUUGUAAGAGAAGAACGAGUGUGAGAGUGGAAAGUUCACACUGUGACGGUAUCUUACCAGAAAGGGACGGCUAACUACGUG